rnacentral:rRNA from 1 species
CCUACGGGUGGCAGCAGUAGGGAAUUUUCGGCAAUGGGGGGAACCCUGACCGAGCAACGCCGCGUGAACGAAGAAGUUAUUCGUAAUGUAAAGUUCUUUUAACAGGGAAGAAAGAGAAAUUUGACGGUACCUGAAGAAUAAGCUCCGGCUAACUACGUGCCAGCAGCCGCGGUAAUACGUAGGGAGCGAGCGUUAUCCGGAAUUAUUGGGCGUAAAGGGUGCGUAGGCGGGCUGUUAAGUCAGCGGUCAAAUGUCGGGGCUCAACCCCGGCCUGCCGUUGAAACUGGCGGCCUCGAGUGGGCGAGAAGUAUGCGGAAUGCGUGGUGUAGCGGUGAAAUGCAUAGAUAUCACGCAGAACUCCGAUUGCGAAGGCAGCAUACCGGCGCCCGACUGACGCUGAGGCACGAAAGCGUGGGUAUCGAACAGGAUUAGAUACCCCAGUAGUC